UCGGGAUAGCUCAGCUGGUAGAGCAGAGGACUGAAAAUCCUCCGUGUCAC
rnacentral:tRNA from 12 species